rnacentral:rRNA from 1 species
GACAGAGGGUGCAAACGUGGUUCGGAAUUACUGGGCGUAAAGCGCGUGUAGGCGGCCCUGCAAGUCGGGUGUGAAAUCCCACGGCUCAACCGUGGAAGUGCACUCGAAACUGCAGGGCUAGAGUCCUGGAGAGGAAGGUGGAAUGCUUGGUGUAGAGGUGAAAUUCGUAGAUAUCAAGCGGAACACCGGUGGCGAAGGCGGCCUUCUGGACAGUGACUGACGCUGAGACGCGAAAGCGUGGGGAGCAAACAGG